rnacentral:rRNA from 1 species
AUUGAACGCUGGCGGCAGGCCUAACACAUGCAAGUCGAACGGUAGCACAGAGAGCUUGCUCUCGGGUGACGACUGGCGGACGGGUGAGUAAUGUCUGGGAAACUGCCCGAUGGAGGGGGAUAACUACUGGAAACGGUAGCUAAUACCGCAUAACGUCGCAAGACCAAAGUGGGGGACCUUCGGGCCUCACACCAUCGGAUGUGCCCAGAUGGGAUUAGCUAGUAGGUGGGGUAAUGGCUCACCUAGGCGACGAUCCCUAGCUGGUCUGAGAGGAUGACCAGCCACACUGGAACUGAGACACGGUCCAGACUCCUACGGGAGGCAGCAGUGGGGAAUAUUGCACAAUGGGCGCAAGCCUGAUGCAGCCAUGCCGCGUGUAUGAAGAAGGCCUUCGGGUUGUAAAGUACUUUCAGCGGGGAGGAAGGCGGUGAAGUUAACAGCUUCACCGAUUGACGUUACCCGCAGAAGAAGCACCGGCUAACUCCGUGCCAGCCGCCGCGGUAAUAC